GAUGAACGCUAGCGGCAGGCCUAAUACAUGCAAGUCGUACGGCAAUACAGUUGCGAGCAAUCGCAACCGGUGGCGAGUGGCGCACGGGUGAGUAACGCGUAUGUAACCUACCCUUCUCCGGGACAUAACUCCGCGAAAGCGGUGCUAAUAUCCCAUACCAACUCAUCAAGACAUCUUCUUGAGUUGAAAGCAGCAAUGCGGUGAAGGAUGGGCAUGCGUCCCAUUAGCUGGUUGGUGAGGUAAUGGCCCACCAAGGCUACGAUGGGUAGGGUUCUGAGAGGAAACGCCCCCCAACUGGUACUGAGACACGGACCAGACUCCUACGGGAGGCAGCAGUAAGGAAUAUUGGGCAAUGGUCGAAAGACUGACCCAGCCAUGCCGCGUGCAGGAUGAAGGCCCUAGUGGGUUGUAAACUGCUUUUAGCCGGGAAUAAACACCCGUUUUAAACCGGGCCCGAAGGUACCGGCUGAAUAAGCAAUCGGCUAACUCCGUGCCAGCACGG
rnacentral:rRNA from 1 species